rnacentral:rRNA from 1 species
GAUGAACGCUGGCGGCGUGCCUAAUACAUGCAAGUCGAGCGAACAGACGAGGAGCUUGCUCCUCUGACGUUAGCGGCGGACGGGUGAGUAACACGUGGAUAACCUACCUAUAAGACUGGGAUAACUUCGGGAAACCGGAGCUAAUACCGGAUAAUAUAUUGAACCGCAUGGUUCAAUAGUUAAAUACGGUUUUGCUGUCACUUAUAGAUGGAUCCGCGCCGCAUUAGCUAGUUGGUAAGGUAACGGCUUACCAAGGCAACGAUGCGUAUCCGACCUGAGAGGGUGAUCGGCCACACUGGAACUGAGACACGGUCCAGACUCCUACGGGAGGCAGCAGUAGGGAAUCUUCCGCAAUGGGCGAAAGCCUGACGGAGCAACGCCGCGUGAGUGAUGAAGGUCUUCGGAUCGUAAAACUCUGUUAUUAGGGAAGAACAAAUGUGUAAGUAACUAUGCACGUCUUGACGGUACCUAAUCAGAAAGCCACGGCUAACUACGUG